UAAUCAAUGUGCAUUUUUUUGAUUUCRCAGUAAAYAACAGACUAGAUAAGAUAAGAARAGCACAGGAGAAGAUACUUCGAGGCCAAUCAGGUCUACAGCAAAGAGCGGUUGCCAUGCAACAAGAUAUGCAAGAUCACAAGCAGGAUCUAAUGCAAGGACAAGAGGUCAUGAUGCAGUGCCUACAACAUGGACAAGAAGCAAUCAAGAAAGAUAUACAAGAUCUCAAAGGACUGCAAAAUGCACAUGGGCAAACAAAUCCCUCAAAUUUGUCAGGUAAGAUCGUGCAGUAAGAAUACAAUUUUUUUUUGUUAAAUUCUAAUGGUAUUUGUACUGAAAAUCAGUUAAUUUUGUUUUUAUCAAAAAUGUAAAUUUUGUCGUUCUUAUAACUUUAUUCUGUAUUGUGAGAAAUUUUAGUGUGAAAUAUACAAGAAUCGAUAAUUCUAUGAUGUCAUCAAUUGAAAGAAUUGUGUCAAGUUUUUGAGAAUACGUUUCAGAAUUUAAGAAAUUUAUUAAAAACUUAUUGCUCAAGAUAAAGAAACAUUGAAAGGCUUACUCAAAUUUGUAAUUUGGCCAUUUUCAGAGGAGUAGUACUUUAACUUUAUAGUACAAACAACACUAAUAAAGAAAUCAAUCCGUUUGA